rnacentral:rRNA from 1 species
CACCUCUUCCCAUUCCGAACAGAGAAGUUAAGCUCAGUCACGCCGAUGGUACUGCGUAACAGUGGGAGAGUAGGUAGUCGCCGUUU